UUUGAAAAAAAUUGGGGGUGAAAGUUUUAUGAUUGCGUUGAAUUUUUUUUGUGCAACCUCAAAAUUUUCACAUGGAAUUUUAUAUGCAAUUUUCUUAGGCCGAAACUAUAACAACGAUAAAAUUUAAACAAAUUGCAAGUGAAAUUUAUGUACUAUUUUAAAAAUUGCAGGUGAAAUUUUAUGCGCGAUUCUAAAAAUUGCAGGCGAAAGUUUAUGCGCGGUUCUAAAAAUUGCAGGUAAAAGUUUAUGUGCGGUUCUAAAAAUUGCAGGUGAAAAUUUAUGCGCGGUUCUAAAAAUUGCAGGUAAAAGUUUAUGCGCGGUUUUAAAAUUUACAGGUCAAACUGUAUGUGCGGUUCUAAAAACUGUAGGUGAAAAUUUAUGCACGAUUAUAAAAUUUGCAGGUGAAAUGGGAGGGAUAUUUUAACAAAAAUAAAACAUUUUUAAAAAAUGAAAAGGAGUUCACAUUGUUGAUAUGUGAAUUACCCAUGAGGUGGACGCUCAAUUUUACUAAGUGUGUGAUAUCUACACGAAUACAUUGGGCUAGGCAUUGAUAUAAAAUACUUGCACAUUCGUAAAGCAAUAAGAAAUCACGGUCAGUUAGGAGUUAGGACAUAGCAAAGCAAUAAGAAAUCAUGGUCAGUGGGCAACCCGUACAAACAAAAAUCAGGACACAAGAAACAAAAAUAGAAAAAAGGAAGAAAAAGAAAAUGGAGAGCACAGAACUUGAACUUGCAACCUAGAGCCCAACAACACCGGCCACCAACCACCCAAACAACCUGCUGUCAAUAUAUAGAAUCAGUUGUCUUUUAUUUAACUUAAAUCGCCUUCAGAUUAACGCCAGCAUGAAUCUUAACACAUGAUCCAAUGGCCUAGACCAAUCGACUGAGUUCUAGCAAAUCCGUAAACAAAUACGCGACGUAUUAGACAUUUCUACCAAGUUUCCCCAAAAAUGGAGGAUCAAGUUUUUUUAUUUUGAUAGCAAGAUGGAGGAUCAAGGUGACUACGAGUAUG
rnacentral:lncRNA from 1 species